GGGGCCAUAGCUCAGCUGGGAGAGCACUUGCAUGGCAUGCAAGGGGUCGGCGGUUCGAUCCCGCCUGGCUCCACCA
rnacentral:tRNA from 3 species